rnacentral:rRNA from 1 species
UACGUAGGUGGCAAGCGUUUACUCGGAAUCACUAGGCGUAAAGCGCGGGUAGGCGGUUGGGUAAGUCUCUUGUGAAAGCUCCCGGCUUAACUGGGAGAGGUCAAGGGAAACUACCUGGCUAGAGUGCGGUAGAGGAAGCUGGAAUUCCUGGUGUAGCGGUGGAAUGCGCAGAUAUCGGGAGGAACACCGGUGGCGAAGGCGGCCUGCUGGGCAGUAGCUGACGCUGAGGCGCGA